CAAGGAGUUUCCAACAUUAUUACUUGUUUAGUAUUAUUUACAAUGACACCACGUGCUAUUUGUUUGUUGUUGAGCUGCAUUUUUGCCAUUGGAUGCGUUAAUGGACGGCUUGUAAAUGUUCCACAUGAUGAUGAUGGUUUAGAGACAAAUGAACUAGAAGUCAAUAAUAAAAACGAUGAUGAUAGCAUGAUGAGACGUCCUGAAAUAUUUGUUUUCAAUGUACUCCCAAGUUUUAGGUGCGCCCAAAUUGGAGAAUUUUGCAAUAAUCAUGAGGAUUGUUGCAGUCAUCUUUGCUUAGGUUACAUGAAGAGGUGCGUUUCUGGUUUCGAAUAUAGUUAAGGAAAUUCAAAAUAUACAGUAAGGUAAAAUGUACUCAGUUUUUAAUUAUAGUUCAGUAAGUUCGCCGGUUAGUGGUAAAAUCUCAUCAUUAGCAACAUCUUACAGUUCUGUUUUUUAGGUUUUUUUAUAAUAUAAGGGGCAAUUUAUUUGUUUUAAUUUUGCAUUUAAGUAAUCCAUAACAACAUCUAUAGAUAUUUUUGUAUAACGUAUAUCAUAAAGUUGUUUGUAGGUCAUACAGUGUUCUUAGUUAGAUAUGGAUUCUCCUGGUAUAAAAUAUCUAUAUGUAUCUUUAAUAAAAAAAUA